rnacentral:misc_RNA from 1 species
GUGCAUCAAACUGUCAGCUCCCCAUUCGUUUCAGUCUUUCCCCAAGUGAAACUCUUUCCUUGUGGUUGCAUAUGGUAUCCUGUGCUGCUUACCCAUAAAAUGGAAUUCGAUGGAUUAGAUUUGUUGAUCUAACAUGUACCCUUUGGGGUGCAAGGUGGACGUGAUGCGGGCUCUGUGUUCCUGGUGUGCCUAGUGAGUUAUCGCUUGGCUACUAUGGCCCAUAGAGACUCUGCUUGUUCUCUUAGAUACGGAAUAUCACGCGUGGACAUGAGGUAUUCACCUCGAUUUGUCCAAGCACUGUCCCUUGACUCGAAUGACUGCUGCUCCCAUCUUGAUCUUCCCGACCAAGGCCUCGUAAUGGGGCUUACUGGAUGAGGGUUGCUCAUACGGGUGUUGGCAUCAAAGAGGAUUGC